rnacentral:rRNA from 1 species
CUAAAGUCUAAAACGACUCUCGGCAACGGAUAUCUCGGCUCUCGCAUCGAUGAAGAACGUAGCGAAAUGCGAUACUUGGUGUGAAUUGCAGAAUCCCGUGAACCAUCGAGUCUUUGAACGCAAGUUGCGCCCCAAGCCUUCUGGUCGAGGGCACGUCUGCCUGGGU